CCAGACUCCUACGGGAGGCAGCAGUGAGGAAUAUUGGUCAAUGGGCAGAAGCCUGAACCAGCCAAGUCGCGUGAGGGAAGAAGGCCCUGCGGGUCGCAGACCUCUUUGGACGGGGAGCAAGGCCGCCGACGUGUCGGCGGAAGGAGAGUACCCGUAGAACAAGCAUCGGCUAACUCCGUGCCAGCAGCCGCGGUAAUACGGAGGAUGCGAGCGUUAUCCGGAUUUAUUGGGUUUAAAGGGUGCGCAGGCGGCACGGCAAGCCGGCGGUCAAAUCGCGGGGCUCAACCUCGCUCCGCCGUUGAAACUGGCGUUCUUAAGUGGGCGAGAAGUAUGCGGAAUGCGUGGUGUAGCGGUGAAAUGCAUAGAUAUCACGCAGAACUCCGAUUGCGAAGGCAGCAUACCGGCGCCCAACUGACGCUGAAGCACGAAAGCGUGGGUAUCGAACAGGAUUAGAUACCCCCGUAAC
rnacentral:rRNA from 1 species